rnacentral:rRNA from 1 species
UACGUAGGGUGCAAGCGUUGUCCGGAAUUAUUGGGCGUAAAGAGCUCGUAGGCGGUCUGUUGCGUCGGCUGUGAAAACCCGGGGCUCAACCCCGGGCCUGCAGCCGAUACUGGCAGACUAGAGUUCGGCAGGGGAGACUGGAAUUCCUGGUGUAGCGGUGAAAUGCGCAGAUAUCAGGAGGAACACCGGUGGCGAAGGCGGGUCUCUGGGACGAUACUGACGCUGAGGAGCGAAAGCGUGGGGAGCGAACAGG